rnacentral:rRNA from 1 species
GACGAAGGAUCCAAGCGUUAUCCGGAUUCAUUGGGUUUAAAGGGUGCGUAGGCGGCCCGGUAAGUCAGUGGUGAAAUCUCCUUGCUUAACAAGGAAACUGCCAUUGAUACUGCUGGGGCUUGAGUACAGAUGCUGUGGGCGGAAUAUGACAUGUAGUGGUGAAAUACAUAGAGAUGUCAUAGAACACCGAUUGCGAAGGCAGCUCACAAAACUGUAACUGACGCUGAGGCACGAAAGUGCGGGGAUCAAACAGG